rnacentral:rRNA from 1 species
CACUCCUGCGGGAGGCAGCAGUGGGGAAUAUUGGACAAUGGGCGCAAGCCUGAUCCAGCCAUGCCGCGUGAGUGAUGAAGGCCCUAGGGUUGUAAAGCUCUUUCACCGGUGAAGAUAAUGACGGUAACCGGAGAAGAAGCCCCGGCUAACUUCGUGCCAGCAGCCGCGGUAAUACGAAGGGGGCUAGCGUUGUUCGGAUUUACUGGGCGUAAAGCGCACGUAGGCGGACUAUUAAGUCAGGGGUGAAAUCCCGGGGCUCAACCCCGGAACUGCCUUUGAUACUGGUAGUCUUGAGUUCGAGAGAGGUGAGUGGAAUUCCGAGUGUAGAGGUGAAAUUCGUAGAUAUUCGGAGGAACACCAGUGGCGAAGGCGGCUCACUGGCUCGAUACUGACGCUGAGGUGCGAAAGCGUGGGGAGCAAACAGGAUUAGAUACCCCAGUAGUCCCAUG